GAUUGCUGGAUGAGAUUACAGCGAUUAUGAAGCUUCUUGGUUAUGUUCCCAAUUUGGAUCUCCUGGUUGAAAGCUGAGUGAUCUGUUCAUCUUGAUGGACUUUGCAAUGCAUGGAUAGCUGCAAGACUAAUAUGUUGAAGACGAUUGAAGAAUGCUGUCGAGUUGUUGCAUUAGAGAAAAAUAGUUUCAGUAAUUUUGCACAUGAUGAGUAUGCCUGAAUCCGGCUGAUGGAGUGGUGUUUUAAUCUCACUGGAUCUUGACACACUACAUGCACAUUGUAACAAAAGAGGAAAUAGUGUUUGCUGGGUGUCUGUGAUUUUACCAAGGGUUGAAACAAAAAUGAAGGUCAGAUGUCAAGAGUGAAGGUUUUCUUAAGAGAAGUGCAAGAGCUGUGGGCCUGUCCAAAUUGUGAAGACAGAUAAAGGAAGAGCCUCUCAGGAUUUUCGGGUUAUAUAUUAGAAUAUAUGUCUGCUGGAGAAACUGAUGCAGAAGAAUGCAUGUAGAUUUUUAA
rnacentral:lncRNA from 1 species